rnacentral:rRNA from 1 species
UACGAAGGGGGCUAGCGUUGCUCGGAAUCACUGGGCGUAAAGGGCGCGUAGGCGGCCUGAUAAGUCGGGGGUGAAAGCCUGUGGCUCAACCACAGAAUUGCCUUCGAUACUGUUGGGCUUGAGACCGGAAGAGGUAAGUGGAACUGCGAGUGUAGAGGUGAAAUUCGUAGAUAUUCGCAAGAACACCAGUGGCGAAGGCGGCUCACUGGCCCGGUACUGACGCUGAGGUGCGAAAGCGUGGGGAGCAAACAGG